rnacentral:rRNA from 1 species
ACGCUCGACACCUACGGGGCAGCAGUGAGGAAUAUUGGUCAAUGGGCGCUAGCCUGAACCAGCCAAGUAGCGUGAAGGAUGAAGGCUCUAUGGGUCGUAAACUUCUUUUAUAUAAGAAUAAAGUGCAGUAUGUAUACUGUUUUGUAUGUAUUAUAUGAAUAAGGAUCGGCUAACUCCGUGCCAGCAGCCGUGGUAAUCUGAGCGGGCUGGCAAGGC